rnacentral:rRNA from 1 species
GACGUAGGGCGCGAGCGUUGUCCGGAUUUAUUGGGCGUAAAGGGCGCGUAGGCGGCCAUUCAAGUCAGAGGUGAAAGCCCAAGGCUCAACCUUGGAACUGCCUUUGAUACUGUUUGGCUUGAGACCGGUAGAGGUAAGUGGAACUGCGAGUGUAGAGGUGAAAUUCGUAGAUAUUCGCAAGAACACCAGUGGCGAAGGCGGCUUACUGGACCGGUUCUGACGCUGAGGCGCGAAAGCGUGGGGAGCAAACAGG